rnacentral:sRNA from 1 species
CUUGGUCAUUUAGAGGAAGUAAAAGUCGUAACAAGGUUUCCGUAGGUGAACCUGCGGAAGGAUCAUUAGUGAAUUGAAUAUGUUAGCGGACCUCUUCGGAGUCCCUAGCAUCAAAUCAUACCCAUAACACCUGUGAACUGUAAGGCUGUCUUGAAAACGAAAGUGAUUAGAGCGCCUGCCCAUUUUAUACAAACAUUAAAGUAACAAACGUAGUCUUAUUAUAAUCUAAUAAAACUUUCAACAACGGAUCUCUUGGCUCUCGCAUCGAUGAAGAACGCAGCGAAAUGCGAUAAGUAAUGUGAAUUGCAGAAUUCAGUGAAUCAUCGAAUCUUUGAACGCACCUUGCGCUCUUUGGUAUUCCGAAGAGCAUGCCUGUUUGAGUGUCAUGAAAAUAUCAACCUUGACUUGGGUUUAGUGCUCUUGUCUUGGCUUGGAUUUGGCUGUUUGCCGCUCGAAAGAGUCGGCUCAGCUUAAAAGUAUUAGCUGGAUCUGUCUUUGAGACUUGGUUUGACUUGGCGUAAUAAGUUAUUUCGCUGAGGACAAUCUUCGGAUUGGCCGAGUUUCUGGGACGUUUGUCCGCUUUCUAAUACAAGUUCUAGCUUGCUAGACAUGACUUUUUUAUUAUCUGGCCUCAAAUCAUGUAGGACUACCCGCUGAACUUAAGCAUACCAAUAAGCGGAGGAAAAGAAACUAACAAGGAUUCCCCUAGUAACGGCGAGUGAAGCGGGAAGAGCUCAAAUUUGAAAUCUGGUGGCCUCAGGCUAUCCGAGUUGUAAUCUAUAGAAACAUUUUCCGCGUUGGCCCAUGUACAAGUCUCUUGGAAUAGAGCGUCAUAGAGGGUGAGAAUCCCGUCCUUGACAUGGACUACCAGUGCUUUGUGAUAUGUUUUCAACGAGUCGAGUUGUUUGGGAAU